rnacentral:rRNA from 1 species
GACGGCAGCUUAACUGUCGCAGUGCCUUUGAUACUGAAGAACUUGAAUCCACUAGAGGUAGGCGGAAUGUGACAAGUAGCGGUGAAAUGCAUAGAUAUGUCACAGAACACCAAUUGCGAAGGCAGCUUACUAUGGUGGUAUUGACACUGAGGCACGAAAGCGUGGGGAUCAAACAGGAUUAGAUACCCUGGUAGUCCACGCCCUAAACGAUGAAUACUCGAUGUUGGCGAUAUACGGUCAGCGUCUAAGCGAAAGCGUUAAGUAUUCCACCUGGGGA